UGAGGAAUAUUGGUCAAUGGACGCAAGUCUGAACCAGCCAUGCCGCGUGCAGGAUGACGGCCCUAUGGGUUGUAAACUGCUUUUCCACGGGAAGAACCCUCCGACGUGUCGGAGACUGACGGUACCGUGGGAAUAAGCAUCGGCUAACUCCGUGCCAGCAGCCGCGGUAAUACGGAGGAUGCAAGCGUUAUCCGGAUUUAUUGGGUUUAAAGGGAGCGUAGGUGGGCUUAUAAGUCAGCGGUGAAAUCCCCCGGCUCAACCAGGGAAUUGCCGUUGAUACUGUUAGCCUUGAGUACAGUUGAAGUGGGCGGAAUGUAGCAUGUAGCGGUGAAAUGCAUAGAUAUGCUACAGAACACCAAUAGCGAAGGCAGCUCACUAAGUUGUAACUGACACUAAUGCA
rnacentral:rRNA from 1 species